CCCGCCCAUCGCCCCCAAACCGGCGCUGGCCCCCAAACCCGGCUCUGCCCCUCCCCCCAGCCCCGCCCCCGAGCAGGGCCCCCCCGAGAGCCUGCGGGCGCUGCGGCAGAGCUUCGCCAGCCUCUUCUCCGACUGAGCCCCAAACACACGGGGGGUGCCCCAAAAACACCGACAUGGCUCCCCAAAAAUCCCACCGGGGGUACCCCAAAAACACACCCGUGGAACCCCAAACACACCCCUGGGGAGCUCCAAAAUAUCAACGGGGACACCCCAAAAAUCCUCCUGGGGGGCACCCUCAAAUACCACUGGGAGCAGCCCAAAAUCCCUUCCAGGACACCCCAAAAAUCCACUUGGGGGUGCCCUAAAAACUCCCUAAAACUGCCUUGGGGCACCCCAAAAAUGCCCUCCAAACCCCACCCGGGGCACCCCAAAAUUUCCCCCAGGGGCACCCCAAAAUAUCACCGGGGGAGCCCCAAAAUACAACCGGGGGUGCCCCAUAAAUGCCCCCAAGGACUUCCCAAAACCCCCCCAGGGAACAUCCCAGAAAUUCCUCCCAAACCUCCCUGGUGGACCCCAAAAAUCCACCUGCGGACACCCCAAAAAUCCCCUGGGGACACCCCAAUAUUCCCCUGGGGACACCCCAGAAGCCUCCCAACACUUCCGUGGGGAUGCCCCCAAAAGCCCCCAGAACACCCCAAAAUCCCUUUGGGACACCCCCAAAUCCAUCCCUGCUUUGUAACCCCACAAAUUCCACAUCGGGGGGGGGGUUGGGUGCCUGGAACACCUGGAAAUUCACCCCAAAAUCCACCCAGGACCCCCCAAAUCCAUCUUGGGGAGGGUCCCAGGGGUUCAGGACCCCCAAAAUCCACCCGGGACUCUCCAAAAUCCACCCAGGACCCCCCAAAUCGAUUUUGGGGAGGGGUCCCAGAGGUUCAGGUCCCCAAAUCCCCCUGGGAAUGCCCCAAAUCCACCCGGAACCCCCCAAAAUUCCCCCCAGGACCCCCCAAAUCCAUCUUGGAGGGGUCCCAGGGGUUCAGGACCCCACAAAUCCCCCCGGCGUUCCCCUCCCCCCUUGCUCUGUGCUCGCCAAGCCCCUCUUUCCCCCAAUUCUGGUGGGGGUCUCUCAGUGUGCGCUUGUGAGUGUGUAAGCCCCGCCCCCCCGCUUGGCCACGCCCCCUCGGGCACACCCUGCUUCGCCCCCGCCCCUUUCACCCAGGUGGGCGGGGUCAAUAAAUCCCUGAGCUGCUGG